UACGAAGGGGGCUAGCGUUGUUCGGAAUUACUGGGCGUAAAGCGCACGUAGGCGGAUAUUUAAGUCAGGGGUGAAAUCCCAGAGCUCAACUCUGGAACUGCCUUUGAUACUGGGUAUCUCGAGUAUGGAAGAGGUGAGUGGAAUUCCGAGUGUAGAGGUGAAAUUCGUAGAUAUGCGGAGGAACACCAGUGGCGAAGGCGACUACCUGGACCAGCACUGACACUGAGGCACGAAAGCGUGGGGAGCAAUCAGG
rnacentral:rRNA from 1 species